rnacentral:rRNA from 1 species
UUUCGCAAUGCCCGAAAGGGUGACGAAGCGACGCCGCGUGAGUGACGAAGGCCUUCGGGUUGUAAAACUCUGUCAGGGGUUAGGAAAUAUAAAUUCAAGAAUAUUGGGUUUGUUUGACAAAGGCUCCAAAGGAAGCCACGGCUAACUCUGUGCCAGCAGCCGCGGUAAUACAGAGGUGGCAAGCGUUGUUCGGAAUUAUUGGGCGUAAAGAGCGCGUAGGUGGAUUUGUAAGUCAGAUGUGAAAGCCUUCUGUUCAACGGGAGAAUUGCAUCUGAAACUACAGACCUUGAGUAUAGGAGGGGAGAAUGGAACUUCUGGUGGAGCGGUGAAAUGCGUAGAUAUCAGAAGGAACGCCGGCGGCGAAAGCGAUUCUCUGGCCUAUUACUGACACUCAGUGUGCGAAAGCUAGGGGAGCAAACGGGAUUAGAUACCCCGGUAGUCCUAGCCGUAAACGAUGGGCACUAAGUAGAGGGGUUUUA